rnacentral:rRNA from 1 species
AGUCGAGCGAACUGAUUAGAAGCUUGCUUCUAUGACGUUAGCGGCGGACGGGUGAGUAACACGUGGGCAACCUGCCUGUAAGACUGGGAUAACUUCGGGAAACCGAAGCUAAUACCGGAUAGGAUCUUCUCCUUCAUGGGAGAUGAUUGAAAGAUGGUUUCGGCUAUCACUUACAGAUGGGCCCGCGGUGCAUUAGCUAGUUGGUGAGGUAACGGCUCACCAAGGCAACGAUGCAUAGCCGACCUGAGAGGGUGAUCGGCCACACUGGGACUGAGACACGGCCCAGACUCCUACGGGAGGCAGCAGUAGGGAAUCUUCCGCAAUGGACGAAAGUCUGACGGAGCAACGCCGCGUGAGUGAUGAAGGCUUUCGGGUCGUAAAACUCUGUUGUUAGGGAAGAACAAGUACGAGAGUAACUGCUCGUACCUUGACGGUACCUAACCAGAAAGCCACGGCUAACUACGUGCCAGCAGCCGCGGUAAUACGUAGGUGGCAAGCGUUAUCCGGAAUUAUUGGGCGUAAAGCGCGCGCAGGCGGUUUCUUAAGUCUGAUGUGAAAGCCCACGGCUCAACCGUGGAGGGUCAUUGGAA